rnacentral:rRNA from 1 species
GAAUUGAAGAGUUUGAUCAUGGCUCAGAUUGAACGCUGGCGGCAGGCCUAACACAUGCAAGUCGAACGGUAACAGGAAACAGCUUGCUGUUUCGCUGACGAGUGGCGGACGGGUGAGUAAUGUCUGGGAAACUGCCUGAUGGAGGGGGAUAACUACUGGAAACGGUAGCUAA